rnacentral:sRNA from 1 species
UACACGAGUGAAACACUUGCCUGCUGUUA